GCCGGCAUCAGUGACGUCGCAUCAUAGGCUUCCACCAGCGGGUAUAAGAAGCAGCAACCUGGCGUUCGGAAUCAGUGGGCUCGGCAGCAGCACAUCGGACACAAUGGUCAACCCAUUCUGCUUUGUCGUGCAGUGGAGGUCACAUGGACGGUAAUGGGUGCAGGCCACCCCAACAGUGCUUAAGAAACGCUGAAAUGGCAAGUCGCCUG